CAUGGCUCAGGAUGAACGCUGACAGAAUGCUUAACACAUGCAAGUCGAUGGGGAAGGCUGAGCUUGCUUAGCUGGUAACCAUGGCGGACGGGUGAGUAACGCGUAAGGAACUUACCUGCGGGACUGGGAUAACGGAGGGAAACUUCUGACAAGACCGGAUAAAGUUACUGGGCAGCAUUGUUUGGUAAUGAAAGGAGACGCCUGCGGAGAGUCUUGCGUCCUAUUAGCUAGUUGGUUGGGUAACGGCUGACCAAGGCGAAGAUAGGUAGCCGGCCUGAGAGGGUGGACGGCCACAAGGGGACUGAGAUACGGCCCUUACUCCUACGG
rnacentral:rRNA from 1 species